GACGAACGCUGGCGGCGUGCUUAACACAUGCAAGUCGAACGGAAAGGCCCUGCUUUUGUGGUGUGCUCGAGUGUCGAACAGGUGAGUAACACGUGAGUAACCUGCCCUUGACUUUGGGAUAACUUCAGGAAACUCGGGCUAAUACCGCAUAUGAGCUCCUGCUGCAUGUUGGGUGUUGGAAAGUUUCGGCGGUUGGGGAUGGACUCGCGGCUUAUCAGCUUGUUGGUGGGGUAGUGGCUUACCAAGGCUUUGACGGGUAGCCGGCCUGAGAGGGUGACCGGCCACAUUGGGACUGAGAGACGGCGCAGACUCCUACGGGAGGCAGCAGUGGGGAAUAUUGCACAAUGGGCGGAAGCCUGAUGCAGCAACGCCGCGUGCGGGAUGACGGCCUUCGGGUUGUAAACCGCUUUCGCCUGUGACGAAGCGUGAGUGACGGUAAUGGGUAAAGAAGCACCGGCUAACUACGUG
rnacentral:rRNA from 1 species